rnacentral:rRNA from 1 species
UUGAGCAGCCAUAUCACCCUGCAACUCACAACUGGCAGCCCACUAAAGCUCAGUAGGUGUGAGCCUGGUCCGUACCUGGAUGGGAGACCUCCUGGGAAAAACUAAGGUUGCUGCUGGAA